CCUUCCUUCCUUCCUUCCUUCCUUCCUUCCUUCCUUCCUUCCAUUUUCUUCUUCAAUGAAGCUACUCACAAUUCUCCACCCUACAUGAAAAUCAAUUCCCAUUCGGAUUGGAUCAAGAGGAUCACUGCCCUCUCCCUUCCAUUCCCACAUAGCCUGCCUUUCCUCAUUCUGUGCCUCUUUCCAACAAACUGCCAUAAAUGGAAACUUUUGCCUCCUUCUAAUCCCCCUUCUCGCUCACUUUUUAAACAAGUAAGGGUUCCUCUGAGGCUUUGAGGAUAGAGAUCCACAAAAACUUGUAGCUCUUUCAGUGGCAGACUUGGUAGCACUUUUCUUUGAAAUGAUCUUCUGCCAGGGAUUACCAGCUAAUGCACCUGGAACUGCAUUAGUUUGUUCAGGCUCUCAGUUUAUCUGAAAAUCGUUUUCCAGUAAUCUUAUGUACACCAUCUGGCUAAACAUCCUGUGAGGAGCAGCCGCUGUGCAGAGAAGGAAGCUCUCUCUUCCCCAGGCUGUUGCUAAGCAGCUCAAGUAGUAACAACCAACUCAUUGAUGCCUUCUUCUGUGCCGGCCUGGGGCCGGGCAUGGCCAUGCAGCCUCCAGUCUCCAGGAUUUUGGCACUGUUGUAAGUACUGGAAGUCAUGGACUACAAAGAGAAAAGGUUGAGGAGGGCCAGCUCUGGCCACUUCUCCACUGGCAGGUUUCCAGGAGAAACCCAGCGCCUGCUGAUGACUCAGGAACCAGCACUGUUCUCAUUCAUCCUGGAAUCAAUUUUCUGCAGUGUGAGUUCUUGGAUAAAACCGAAAAUAACAGUACUUCUGACUGUUCAGGGAAAAUAAAGGCCUCUUGUCAUUUCUUUUCAGUGCAGCCACUCUCAAAGCCAUGGCCAGAUACAAUUCAUGGAAGAUGUUUUCUCUCUGCUCGCAUCUUCCUGUGUCAUUUCUAUUAGAUAGAGAACCUUUUUGCUCUCUCCAGAUCAAGCAACAGUUAAAAAUUCUUGUUUAUUUUGGCAAGUAUUGUUUUAACUCAACAACAAGCAAAGCUAUUUCCUCUUACAAAGUGUUUCGAAUUGGAAACAGCAUUCUUUAAGCAAGGUCCAACUAUUGCAAGUGACGUAUGUUGUAAGAUCUGGGUUACUUUACAGACAUCUUUUUUGUAAUUGUGUUCAAGAAAUUACUCUGUCCCUGGUUUUGUUUCAUUUUAUGCUAAUUGCUGUAACUUCUAUUUCUGUCAUAGAAAUAAUAAGAGCGAUCAUAUCCAUUUAAUUUGAUCAUUUAUGUUUCACUGCAGUGACCAAAACAGGCAGCCUACUACUUCAUGUUACCAUUCGUCACAUCUUACUAAAUCAGGCUUUCAAAUGAAAGUAAUUGUAAACACACGUGAAAUGGUACCUUUUAUGCCACAAAGUGUUAUGAAAAAGCUUUUAAACCACAGCUUUUUCAAGGUAAAAAUCAGCUCCUUAGGUUUUAUUUUUACCUCUUCAGCGUCUCGCAGCCUGACUUUCAUUUGUAAGUCAAAACUUUAAGGAACAUGGGAUGUUGUGAGCUUUAAAAACAAAUAAAGUGUUAUUAUGUAGUAGGUUUCAAAAAAUGUUUUAUUCACAUAGAUCGUAUUUAAAUGCUUCCCACUAUAAGUCUACUGGGGAUAGGACUAUCUGCAAGGACAAUGCUGAAACAAAACAAAUCAGGACUGAUUUUUAAAUAGAAUUUUUAAAAAAUAGUUAUUUAAAGCAAAGUAUCUUUGGAAACCUAUGAUCUGACUGGUAGGCCAGAAGUGUUGAUUUGCUUUUAAUAGGAG